rnacentral:tRNA from 1 species
UCCUGGGUGGCUCAGUCAGUUGAGUGCCCGACUUCAGCUCAGGUCAUGAUUUCAUGGCUCUGUGAGUUCGAGUCUCGCAUCAGGUU